rnacentral:rRNA from 1 species
AAGAAAGUAAAUAAGGGCGCAUGGCGGAUGCCUUGGCUCUCGGAGGCGAUGAAGGACGUGAUAAGCUGCGAUAAGCUUCGGGUAGGUGCAAAUGACCAUUGAUCCGAAGAUUUCCGAAUGGGACAACCCGGCAUUCUGAAGGAAUGUCAUCCAACUUUGUUGGAGGCUAACGCAGGGAACUGAAACAUCUUAGUACCUGCAGGAAAAGAAAAUAAAUAAUGAUUCCCCUAGUAGUGGCGAGCGAACGGGGAUUAGCCCAAACCACCCAUGUUACGGCAUGUGUGGGGUUGUAGGACCACGCUCUCGCAAGACAGUUAUUGAGAAGAAACGGCUGGAAAGUCGUGCCAUAGACGGUGAUAGCCCGGUAUUCUAAGGUAACCGAAGCGUAGUGGUAUCCUGAGUAGCGCGGAGCACGAGGAAUUCUGCGUGAAUCAGCCGGGACCAUCCGGUAAGGCUAAAUACUCCCGAGAGACCGAUAGCGAACCAGUACUGUGAAGGAAAGGUGAAAAGCACUUCGAAUAGAAGAGUGAAAUAGUCCCUGAAACCAUGCGCCUACAAG